CGAAUGCUGACAUAAGUAACGAUAAAGCGGGUGAAAAGCCCGCUCGCCGGAAGACCAAGGGUUCCUGUCCAACGUUAAUCGGGGCAGGGUGAGUCGACCCCUAAGGCGAGGCCGAAAGGCGUAGUCGAUGGGAAACAGGUUAAUAUUCCUGUACUUGGUGUUACUGCGAAGGGGGGACGGAGAAGGCUAUGUUGGCCGGGCGACGGUUGUCCCGGUUUAAGCGUGUAGGCUGGUUUUCCAGGCAAAUCCGGAAAAUCAAGGCUGAGGCGUGAUGACGAGGCACUACGGUGCUGAAGCAACAAAUGCCCUGCUUCCAGGAAAAGCCUCUAAGCAUCAGGUAACAUCAAAUCGUACCCCAAACCGACACAGGUGGUCAGGUAGAGAAUACCAAGGCGCUUGAGAGAACUCGGGUGAAGGAACUAGGCAAAAUGGUGCCGUAACUUCGGGAGAAGGCACGCUGAUAUGUAGGUGAAGCGACUUGCUCG
rnacentral:rRNA from 1 species